GAGGAAGGCAGCUGUUACCCAAGCCCUGCACCUCCAUCUUCCCAGAGUCUCGUGGGAAACAGAUUUCAAACAACAACAGACAGCAAGACUGAGAAACUACGAAAGAUCAGCCUGGUCAUGCAGGCACAUCUGUGGGAGAAGCAAGUAGACUCUAUAGGGGAAAAGCAGGAGAAAAGAUGGGAGAAGCCUUGGGUGACAGAAGGAGGAAGCCUUGAAUGUGAGUCCAACAUGUUAGCUUUUUUCCUGCAGGCAGGAGGCAGCCAUUGAGGCCUCUGGACAUUCAAGUAGCAAGAGGUAAAU
rnacentral:lncRNA from 1 species